UUAUUCAUACAGAAAUAAAAUUUGAAAUUAAAAAUAGGAUCACAAAUCGAAAUAAAAACUAUGAGUACAAGUGCGGGUACUCGAGCCAGUCUCGAACAAUGUGUGACGAUGACAUGCCACAUGUACUGUUGAACUUUGCUAAUAAUUGAAACUAAAAUUGCGGGUUGCGUUGUAAAACUUUGUAAGAGCAAUACUACAAGAAAUAAGAAAGACACUGGGAUCACAUAUCAUCAGUAGUGCGGUAUGUAGUUUGAGCGCAGCGGAGACCAAUCCUUAAUCUAAGUUGCGGGCAGCAGCAAGAAGUUUUGAUAAUAUUUUGAUUCCUUUGAGAGUGUCUAAAUAUACGUUUCUGC